rnacentral:rRNA from 1 species
GACGAACGCUGGCGGCGUGCUUAACACAUGCAAGUCGAACGGAAAGGCUCCAGCUUGCUGGAGUGCUCGAUUGGCGAACGGGUGAGUAACACGUGGGCAAUCUGCCCUGCACUCUGGGAUAAGCCUGGGAAACUGGGUCUAAUACCGUAUAGGACCUUUCUCCCCAUUGGGUUUGGUGGAAAGUGUUUCGGUGCAGGAUGAGCCCGCGGCCUAUCGGCUUGUUGGUGGGGUAAUGGCCUACCAAGGCGACGCCGGGUAGCCGGCCUGAGAGGGUGGUCGGGCACAUUGGGACUGAGAGACGGCCCAGACUCCUACGGGAGGCAGCAGGGGGGAAUAUUGCACAAUGGGCGAAAGCCUGAUGAGGCGACGCCGCGGGAGGGAUGACGGCCUUCGGGUUGUAAACCGCUUUCAGUAGGGACGAAGCGCAAGUGACGGUACCUGCAGAAGAAGCACCGGCUAACUACGUG